rnacentral:ncRNA from 1 species
UUACCCUACUGAUGACUGGUCGUUGCGCUAGUAAUCCUGCUCAGUACGAGAGGAACCGCAGGUUCGGACACUUGGUACAUGUGCCUGGUCGAGUGACCAGUGGUGCGAAGCUACCAUCCGUGGGAUUAUGACUGAACGCCUCUAAGUCAGAAUCCCACCUAAUCACUGCAACGAUACCGUUUGUGCCAUGCGCGUCGGUGGGCUAUUUUAGCUGGAGCGUACAUCUGUCCCGUACGGGUCAGACUACUCCGGCGACGAGGCCUAUUCGACUCGGAACAAUCAAGGGGCCGCCGAGACUAUGUGGUCCCCGCUUAGAAAUCCACACCAUGCAGGUGUGACGUGCAGGCGCCAAAUCGUCUGUAGACGACUUAGGUACUGGUCUGGGUGUUGUAAGUAGAAGAGCAGCCACCAUACUGCGAUCUAUUGAGACUCGUCCUCUGACUGGAAGAUUUGUUGGCGCCGCCAACGAAUCGUUUUAUAUUUUUUAAAAUUCGGAAUGCUUCGGUUCUCCUGGGACUUCUAUUUUUUUAUAAAAGUUUCAAUGAUCCAGGGUUUCCCUGGGACUUUGAAAUGAUUCCCCGACUCAUUUGGACGUAACGGGACCAUGGUCGUAACGGGUGACGGGGAAUCAGGGUUCGAUUCCGGAGAGGGAGCCUGAGAAACGGCUACCCCAUCCAAGGAAGGCAGCAGGCGCGCAAAUUACCCACUCCCAGAACGGGGAGGUAGUGACGAAAAAUAACAAUACGGGACUCUUUUGAGACCCCGUAAUUGGAAUGAGUACACUCUAAAUCCUUUAACGAGGAUCAAUUGGAGGGCAAGUCUGGUGCCAGCAGCCGCGGUAAUUCCAGCUCCAAUAGCGUAUAUUAAAGUUGUUGCGGUUAAAAAAGCUCGUAGUUGGAUCUCAGUUCCAGACGGGUGGUCCACCUACCGGUGGUUACUGCCUGUUCUGAACAGCCAGCCGGUUUCUCUUGAUGAUCUUCACCGGUUGUCUUGGGUGACCGGCAAGUUUACUUUGAAAAAAAUUAGAGUGCUCAAAGCAGGCGUGACGCCUGAAGAAUGGUGCAUGGAAUAAUGGAAUAGGACCUCGGUUCUAUUUUGUUGGUUUUUCGGAAUACGAGGUAAUGAUUAAGAGGGACAGACGGGGGCAUUCCUAUUGCGAAGCUAGAGGUGAAAUUCUUGGCCCUGUAGGGGAUACCUGUGCGCAUGACCGUAGCCAUGUUGCUUGGUGUGUUUUGGUGCUCUGUGAAAUAUUGCUUAUUU